rnacentral:rRNA from 1 species
UCAGUAACACGUAGGUAACUACCUCAGGACUGAGAUAACCCGGGAAACUGGGGCUAAUAUAGAUAGAUAAAAGACACUGGAAUGUUCUUUAUCCAAAGCUUUUGCGCUGAGGAUGGGCCUGCGUCCGAUUAGGUUGUUGGUGGGGUAAUGGCCCACCAAGCUGCGAUCGGUACGGGCAGUGAGAGCUGAAGCCCGGAGUUGGGGACUGAGACAAGGCCCCAGGCCCUACGGGGCGCAGCAGGCGCGAAACCUCUGCAAUGCGGGAAACCGUGACAGGGGGAUCCCAAGUGCUCAUGCAUUGCAUGGGCUGUUCUUUGGUCUAAGUAACCAGAGGAGUAAGAGCUGGGCAAGACCGGUGCCAGCCGCCGCGGUAAUACCGGCAGCUCAAGUGGUAGCCGCGAUUAUUGGGCCUAAAGCGUUCGUAGCCGGAUAAGUAAGUCUUUGGUUAAAUCCUGCGACUUAACCGUGGGGGAAAUUUGGAGAUACUGCUUUUCUUGAGACCGGGAGAGGUUGGAGGUACUCCCAGGGUAGGGGUGAAAGAAAUCCUGUAAUCCUGGGGGGACCACCUGUGGCGAAGGCGUCCAACUGGAACGGGUCUGACGGUGAGGGACGAAACCUAGGGGAGCGAGCCGGAUUAGAUACCCAGGUAGUCCUAGGCGUAAAUGAUGCGAGUUAAGUGUGGGGGCAUCUACGAGAUGGCCCUGUGCUGUAGGGUAGCCGUUAAACU